CAAUAGCGUAUAUUAAAGUUGUUGCAGUUAAAAAGCUCGUAGUUGGAUUUCGGGGCAGCCUGGCUGGUCCGCCGCAAGGCGAGUACUGGUCAGCCGCCCUUCCUCUCGAAAGCCCCGACUGCUCUUUAUUGCAGUGGUCGGGUAGUUCGGGACGUUUACUUUGAAAAAAUUAGAGUGUUCAAGGCAGGCCUACGCCUGAAUACAUUAGCAUGGAAUAAUGGAAGAGGACCUCGGUCCUAUUUUGUUGGUUUCCAGGACCGAAGUGAUGAUUAAGAGGGACAGUUGGGGGCAUUCGUAUUUAAUUGUCAGAGGUGAAAUUCUCGGAUUUAUGAAAGACGAACAACUGCGAAAGCAUUUGCCAAGGAUGUUUUCAUUAA
rnacentral:rRNA from 1 species